rnacentral:lncRNA from 1 species
GAUGAGGAGCAGGCCAGGACCAUUCCUGCCCAGAACGGAAGGGGGCCCUGGGAGUCGGAGGACCCCACCCAGGAAAUGCUGGAGGGUAGACUAGUCACCACACGGGUGCUGAUGCCAGGCAGUACGAGAGCUGUGGAGGUGGAUGAGGUGGAGGACCUGUCCCAGCUGGAAGAGGUGUGUGAGAGCUCAGUGCUCCUGAACCUGAGGAAGAGGUUCCACCGGGACUGUAUUUAUGUACGUUCCGUGACGUUAUACACUAUUCACACGCUAGUUCUUCCGUGA